UCAGCUACAAUACUACGCUUAUCCAUUUUAAUCAUACAAUUUCCCAACAAUACACAUUGCUACAAGAGUCGGAGUCCAGUUAUACCUAUAGACACCUACUUUUGUUCCUCCCAUAAACUCAAUUUAUCCAUUUUUGGCCUCACCUUAUCAUACACCCUCACCCAUUUAAUAAUUCACCCUACAAGAAUCUAAAUAACAAACUCACAACAAAAGUAACAACCCCUCUAACUAAUUUUGACACCUCACACCCAUACCCCUACCCUCUAGCUAUACUUCAUACCCUCUACCUCUAACCCCUAACAUAUUUUGUUUUCCUUACCAAAAUAUAUCCAUACACAAAUAUUCACAUACACACACAAUCCUCACCCACACACUGUUAUACACAUACACUCCUCACCAUCACAUACGCAGGUACACCACACUCACUGGAAAAAUUAGAGAGGACACACAAUAUACACACACGCACUUUACACAGAUUCCACAGACACUGACCUCAUGAUUUUUCUUUUCCAUUUUAAAUACACAAAAAACAAAAUAGGGAGGAGAUAUUACAUACACACUUACAUUUAAAGAGAGAAAAAAGGGACUCCUUCAUUUUGGGAGUUCAACAGAAACCUUACACAUACAAUACACACACAAAAGUAACCGAAAUGCGUACAAAUACUCACAGACCAGGAAUUCACCAUACACACCUAAUGGAAUAGAGAUCGAGUGAGAGAAGGUGAGAGAAAAGAGAACAAACGAGAGAGUGUAGAUAAACAAGCAUCUCCCACCAGUUACUAUUCUGGCAAUCAUUUUCUUCACUGAAAAACAGUGAAAUCUUGUAGGAAAUGCCACCAUCUGCCACCGACAAUACGACCUUGAAACCAUCCUGCCGAACAGUCCUCAAAUCAAUCAAAACCAGCAACCAGUCAAUCAAAAUCACCGAAAAACACUAAAUAUCUCUGAAAUUGAUUCCCCCAUUCCAGAUUUCGGCGAAAACAAUCAAAUUCAGUUUACGGUUUCCUCUUGUGACGUCGAGUGGUGCGAUACUGUUUGGGUUUGAGUUGUGGGUUGUCGGUUGAGGUUCAAUCGAGGUAUUUUUUAUGAGGUUCUAUCUUCGAUAUAUCGAAAUCGAUAACUGAGGUCCAAUUCUACUUUUGUUCUCUUUUAACUUCAUUAAAUUUAUUUGAUUUUUUAUGUGCUUAUGAUGAAAGUGCUUGAAUAUAUGUUAUUGUCAUCAUAUGGAAUUGUUAGAAUUAUGUUGAAUGGGUUGAAUGCAUCCUAAUAAGGAAAAUUGGAUAUGGUUUGAUCAAUGUUUUGAUUAAUUUUGAUUUGGAGGAGAAACCGGUAAUUUAAGAAUAGAAUUAAAGGUGGGAAUUGAAAAUCAAUAAAAGGAAAAUAUGGUUUGUUUUGGUUUAUUGUUGAUUGUUUAAUUUGGAAUAGAUAUCGAUUCUAGCUAACUUCGAUGAUAUCAUGUUUACGCCAAUAAUUGAUAGGUAAACGUAGGUUGGGUAGGCAAAGUUUAGGACUAGUGGUUUGUUGAAUGUUUGAAAUUUUAUUGAAUGAUUUUAUUUUCUUGUAUUUGGAAAAUGUAUUUAUUUAGCCGGGGAAUGCCCCGAGGUCAUUUCUAUUUAUUCACCGGAGAAUGCCCCGAAGUAUUAUGUACGCAAAGGAGGUUCGUGAUAAAGGAUCGAGGCACUGGGUGGAGCAUAGUUAGGAUUAGUGUAGGUUAGUGUAGGCUUACAUUUCAGUACCUUUUUAUUUCAGGUCUGUAAUAAAUUAGACUGGAUACUAUUUUUUGAGUUUUUGAAUUGUUUGGUUGUUUGUUUUCUUUUUUUGUGUGUUUUAUUGCUUUAUACAUUCCAUCGUGUCAUCCUAGAUGAUAUACUCUACGGAAUGACCAUGGUCGAACCACGGGAUCGGGGAAUGCCAAACAUCUUCCCCUCGGUCAAUAGAAUUUCUUAACUGGAAUCUCUGUUCGCGAAUCAGUUUAAAAGAGUCAAAAAAUUAUUUUGAAAAGGAAUGUUCAAAGGUGACUUGGAACACUAGAUUUAUGCCAAGUGGCAACUCUGAGUUUUGAUUGUUAGAAGUCUUUUUCAAAACAAAUUAUUUUAUUUUGUCACUUUAUAAUAAAAUCCUUUUCAAACGUAAAAUGAAUCUUUUUUGGAAAAAAAAAAAAGAAGAAAAAAGAGUUUUGUAGUUGUUUAGAGUUUUUAUGACUUUUAUUUCCCAUAAUCCAAAAAAUCAAAAAGAGUAUUACCUUUUGC
rnacentral:lncRNA from 1 species